CCUACGGGCGGCUGCAGUGGGGAAUAUUGCACAAUGGGGGAAACCCUUAUGCAGCGACGCCGCGUGAGUGAAGAAGUAAUUCGUUAUGUAAAGCUCUAUCAGCAGGGAAGAAAAUGACGGUACCUGAGUAAGAAGCCCCGGCUAACUACGUGCCAGCAGCCGCGGUAAUACGUAGGGGGCAAGCGUUAUCCGGAUUUACUGGGUGGAAAGGGAGCGUAGACGGCAGUGCAAGUCUGGAGUGAAAGGCGGGGGCUCAACCCCCGGACUGCUCUGGAAACUGUACGGCUGGAGUGCAGGAGAGGUAAGUGGAAUUCCUAGUGUAGCGGUGAAAUGCGUAGAUAUUAGGAGGAACACCAGUGGCGAAGGCGGCUUACUGGACUGUAACUGACGUUGAGGCUCGAAAGCGUGGGGAGCAAACAGGAUUAGAUACCCGAGUAGUC
rnacentral:rRNA from 1 species